CCUACGGGUUGCAGCAGUGGGGAAUCUUAGACAAUGGGCGCAAGCCUGAUCUAGCCAUGCCGCGUGAGUGACGAAGGCCCUAGGGUCGUAAAGCUCUUUCGCCAGGGAUGAUAAUGACAGUACCUGGUAAAGAAACCCCGGCUAACUCCGUGCCAGCAGCCGCGGUAAUACGGAGGGGGUUAGCGUUGUUCGGAAUUACUGGGCGUAAAGCGCGCGUAGGCGGACUAUUAAGUCAGGGGUGAAAUCCCGGGGCUCAACCCCGGAACUGCCCUUGAUACUGGUAGUCUUGAGUUCGAGAGAGGUGAGUGGAAUUCCGAGUGUAGAGGUGAAAUUCGUAGAUAUUCGGAGGAACACCAGUGGCGAAGGCGGCUCACUGGCUCGAUACUGACGCUGAGGUGCGAAAGCGUGGGGAGCAAACAGGAUUAGAUACCCCAGUAGUC
rnacentral:rRNA from 1 species